rnacentral:rRNA from 1 species
AUUUAACGCUGGCGGCAUGCCUAACACAUGCAAGUCGAACGAGUAGCGGACGGGUGGGUAAUGUCUAAGAACCUUCCUGAUGGACGGGGAUACCUCAUGGAAACGGUCGCUAAUACCGCAUACCAUCAGAUAUGCCCAGAUGGGAUUAGAUUGUGGUGGGGGUAACGGCUCACCAAGGCGACGCUCCCUAGCUGGUCUGAGAGGAUGACCAGCCACACUGGAACUGAGACACGGUCCAGACGCCUACGGGAGGCAGCAGUGGGGAAUAUUACACAAUGGGCGAAAGCCUGAUACAGCCAUGCCGCGUGUAUGAAGAAGGCCUUCGGGUUGUAAAGGACUUUCAGUGGGGAGGCGGUACCCGAAGAAGAAGCACCGGCUAACUCCGUGCCAGCAGCCGCGAUAAUAC